rnacentral:rRNA from 1 species
UACGUAGGAGACGAGCGUUGUCCGGAGUUACUGGGCGUAAAGGGUGCGCAGGUGGCGGCGCGCGUGGGGGGUAAAAUCGCCCGGCUUAACUGGGCGGGGGCCUUCCAGACGGCGUGGCUUGAGCAGCGGAGGGGGACGUGGAAUUCCGGGUGGAGCGGUGAAAUGCGUAGAGAUCCGGAGGAACACCGACGGCGCAGGCAGCGUCCUGGCCGCUUGCUGACACUGAGGCACGAAAGCUGGGGGAGCACACAGG